GAUGAACGCUGGCGGCGUGCCUAAUACAUGCAAGUCGAGCGAACAGAUCAGGAGCUUGCUCCUCCGACGUUAUCGGCCGUCGGGUGCGUAACAUGUGGUUAACCUAACUCUCAGACUGGGAUAAUUUUGGGAAACCGGAGCUAAUAACGGAUAAUUUAUUGCACUGCAUGGUUCCAUCGUGAAAGUAGGUUUUGCUGUCACUUAUAGCUGGCUCAGCACCUCAUGAGCUAGUUGGUAAAGUAACGGCUUACCAAGGCUACGACGCGUAACCGACCCGAGGGGGUGAUCGACCACACUGGAACAGAGACACAGUCCAGACUCCGACAGUGGGCAGCAGUAGAGAAUCUUCCGCGAUGGACGAAAGGUGGACAGAGCAACGCCGCGGAAGUGAUGAAGGUCUUCGGAUCGGAAAGCGCUGUUAGCAGGAAAGAUCAAAUGUGUAAGUAACUAUGCACGUCUUGACGGUACCUAAUCAGAAAGCCACGGCUAACUACGUG
rnacentral:rRNA from 1 species